rnacentral:rRNA from 1 species
UCAGGAUGAACGCUAGCGACAGGCUAACACAUGCAAGUCGAGGGCAUCACGGGAGUAGCAAUACAACUGGUGGCGACCGGCGCACGGGUGAGUAACGCGUAUCGCAACCUACCUAUCGAGAGGGGAAUAACCCGGCGAAAGUCGGACUAAUACCGCAUAAAACAGGGGCACCGCAUGGUGAUAUUUGUUAAAGAAAUUCGCUGAUAGAUGGGCAUGCGUUCCAUUAGGUAGUUGGUGAGGUAACGGCUCACCAAGCCGACGAUGGAUAGGGGAACUGAGAGGUUGGUCCCCCACACUGGUACUGAGACACGGACCAGACUCCUACGGGAGGCAGCAGUGAGGAAUAUUGGUCAAUGGGCGGGAGCCUGAACCAGCCAAGUCGCGUGAAGGAAAGAAGGAUCUAUGGUUCGUAAACUUCUUUUGCAGGGGAAUAAAGUGCAGGACGUGUCCUGUUUUGUAUGUACCCUGAGAAUAAGGAUCGGCUAACUCCGUGCCAGCAGCAGC